rnacentral:rRNA from 1 species
GAUGAACGCUGGCGGCGUGCCUAAUACAUGCAAGUAGAACGCUGAAGGAGGAGCUUGCUCUUCUGGAUGAGUUGCGAACGGGUGAGUAACGCGUAGGUAACCUGCCUGGUAGCGGGGGAUAACUAUUGGAAACGAUAGCUAAUACCGCAUGACAACAGUUAUUGCAUGAUAACUGUUUAAAAGGGGCAACUGCUCCACUACCAGAUGGACCUGCGUUGUAUUAGCUAGUUGGUGAGGUAACGGCUCACCAAGGCGACGAUACAUAGCCGACCUGAGAGGGGGAUCGGCCACACUGGGACUGAGACACGGCCCAGACUCCUACGGGAGGCAGCAGUAGGGAAUCUUCGGCAAUGGACGGAAGUCUGACCGAGCAACGCCGCGGGAGGGAAGAAGGGUGUCGGAUCGUAAAGCUCUGUUGUAAGAGAAGAACGAGUGUGAGAGUGGAAAGUUCACACUGUGACGGUAUCUUAACAGAAAGGGACGGCUAACUACGUG